rnacentral:rRNA from 1 species
GAAUCAACGCUGGCGGCGUGCCUAACACAUGCAAGUCGCGCGCGAAAGGGGGCAACCCCCGAGUAAGCGGCGAACGGGUGAGUAACACGUGGGUAAUCUACCUUCGAGUGGGGAACGAACAUCGGGAAACUAGGUGCUAAUUCCGCAUGACCAUCGUCGGGGCUUCGGUUCUGACGAUCAAAGCUGGGGAUCGCAAGACC